ACGAACGCUGGCGGCGUGCCUAAUACAUGCAAGUCGAACGCUUCUUUUUCCACCGGAGCUUGCUCCACCGGAAAAAGAGGAGUGGCGAACGGGUGAGUAACACGUGGGUAACCUGCCCAUCAGAAGGGGAUAACACUUGGAAACAGGUGCUAAUACCGUAUAACAAUCGAAACCGCAUGGUUUUGAUUUGAAAGGCGCUUUCGGGUGUCGCUGAUGGAUGGACCCGCGGUGCAUUAGCUAGUUGGUGAGGUAACGGCUCACCAAGGCGACGAUGCAUAGCCGACCUGAGAGGGUGAUCGGCCACAUUGGGACUGAGACACGGCCCAAACUCCUACGGGAGGCAGCAGUAGGGAAUCUUCGGCAAUGGACGAAAGUCUGACCGAGCAACGCCGCGUGAGUGAAGAAGGUUUUCGGAUCGUAAAACUCUGUUGUUAGAGAAGAACAAGGAUGAGAGUAACUGUUCAUCCCUUGACGGUAUCUAACCAGAAAGCCACGGCUAACUACGUGCCAGCAGCCGCGGUAAUACGUAGGUGGCAAGCGUUGUCCGGAUUUAUUGGGCGUAAAGCGAGCGCAGGCGGUUUCUUAAGUCUGAUGUGAAAGCCCCCGGCUCAACCGGGGAGGGUCAUUGGAAACUGGGAGACUUGAGUGCAGAAGAGGAGAGUGGAAUUCCAUGUGUAGCGGUGAAAUGCGUAGAUAUAUGGAGGAACACCAGUGGCGAAGGCGGCUCUCUGGUCUGUAACUGACGCUGAGGCUCGAAAGCGUGGGGAGCAAACAGGAUUAGAUACCCUGGUAGUCCACGCCGUAAACGAUGAGUGCUAAGUGUUGGAGGGUUUCCGCCCUUCAGUGCUGCAGCUAACGCAUUAAGCACUCCGCCUGGGGAGUACGACCGCAAGGUUGAAACUCAAAGGAAUUGACGGGGGCCCGCACAAGCGGUGGAGCAUGUGGUUUAAUUCGAAGCAACGCGAAGAACCUUACCAGGUCUUGACAUCCUUUGACCACUCUAGAGAUAGAGCUUCCCCUUCGGGGGCAAAGUGACAGGUGGUGCAUGGUUGUCGUCAGCUCGUGUCGUGAGAUGUUGGGUUAAGUCCCGCAACGAGCGCAACCCUUAUUGUUAGUUGCCAUCAUUUAGUUGGGCACUCUAGCAAGACUGCCGGUGACAAACCGGAGGAAGGUGGGGAUGACGUCAAAUCAUCAUGCCCCUUAUGACCUGGGCUACACACGUGCUACAAUGGGAGGUACAACGAGUCGCAAAGUCGCGAGGCUAAGCUAAUCUCUUAAAGCUUCUCUCAGUUCGGAUUGUAGGCUGCAACUCGCCUACAUGAAGCCGGAAUCGCUAGUAAUCGCGGAUCAGCACGCCGCGGUGAAUACGUUCCCGGGCCUUGUACACACCGCCCGUCACACCACGAGAGUUUGUAACACCCGAAGUCGGUGAGGUAACCUUUUGGAGCCAGCCGCCUAAGGUGGGAUAGAUGAUUGGGGUG
rnacentral:rRNA from 1 species